rnacentral:rRNA from 1 species
GAAAGCAUCUAAGCGGGAAACUUGCCUCAAGAUGAGAUCUCACUGGGAACUUGAUUCCCCUGAAGGGCCGUCGAAGACUACGACGUUGAUAGGCUGGGUGUGUAAGCGUUGUGAGGCGUUGAGCUAACCAGUACUAAUUGCCCGUGAGGCUUGACCAUAUAACACCCAAACA